GUGCCAGCAGCCGCGGUAAGACAGAGGUCUCAAGCGUUAGGCGGAAUCACUGGGCUUAAAGCGUGUGUAGGCGGAGUCCUAAGUACCUUGUGAAAUCCCCGGGCUUAACCCGGGAACGGCUUGGUAUACUGGGUCUCUUGAGCCAACUAGGGGCGACCGGAACAAACGGUGGAGCGGUGAAAUGCGUAGAUAUCGUUUGGAACGCCAAUGGUGAAAACAGGUCGCUGGGGUUGUGCUGACGCUGAGACACGAAAGCCAGGGGAGCGAACGGGAUUAGAUACCCCGGUAGUCC
rnacentral:rRNA from 1 species